UACAGAGGGUGCGAGCGUUAAUCGGAAUUACUGGGCGUAAAGCGCACGUAGGUGGUUCUGUAAGUCGGAUGUGAAAGCCCCGGGCUUAACCUGGGAACUGCAUUCGAGACUGCAGUACUGGAGUAUGGGAGAGGGAAGCGGAAUUUCCGGUGUAGCGGUGAAAUGCGUAGAUAUCGGAAGGAACAUCAGUGGCGAAAGCGGCUUCCUGGCCCAAUACUGACACUCAUGUGCGAAAGCGUGGGGAGCAAACAGGAUUAGAAACCCCGU
rnacentral:rRNA from 1 species